AAUCAACGCUGGCGGCAUGCCUAACACAUGCAAGUCGAACGGGAAAGUGGGAGCAAUCCCAUGAGUAUAGUGGCGCACGGGUGAGUAACACGUGACUAACCUACCCUCGAGUGGGGAAUAACCCCGGGAAACCGGGGCUAACACCGCAUAAUACCGCAAGGUCAAAUGCGCAAGCAGCUUGAGGAGGGGGUCGCGGUUGAUUAGCUAGUUGGUAGGGUAAUGGCCUACCAAGGCAGUGAUCAAUAGCCGGCCUGAGAGGGCGCACGGCCACACUGGAACUGAAACACGGUCCAGACUCCUACGGGAGGCAGCAGUGGGGAAUAUUGGACAAUGGCGAAAGCCUGAUCCAGCCAUGCCGCGUGAGUGAUGAAGGCCCUAGGGUUGUAAAGCUC
rnacentral:rRNA from 1 species